rnacentral:rRNA from 1 species
GAGCAGCCACUUGGUGACAAGGCGCUAAUCUCAAAAGACCGAUCUCAGUUCGGAUCGAAGUCUGCAACUCGACUUCGUGAAGUUGGAUUCGCUAGUAAUCGCGCAUCAGCCAUGGCCGCGGUCGAAUACGUUCCCGGGCCUU